ACGAACGUUGGCGGUGUGCCUAAUACAUGCAAGUCGAGCGAGAAAGCCGGGGCAACUCGGCGAGUACAGCGGCGGAAGGGUGCGUAAUACAUGGAUAACGUACCCUCCAGUUGGGGAUAACCCUCCGAAAGGUGGGCUAAUACCGAAUAAUGGCAGCGGGCGGCAUCGCUUGCUGCUUAAAGACGCAAGUCGCUGGGGGAGCGGUCCG
rnacentral:rRNA from 1 species